AGUGAACGCUGGCGGUAGGCCUAACACAUGCAAGUCGAACGGCAGCACAGUAAGAGCUUGCUCUUACGGGUGGCGAGUGGCGGACGGGUGAGGAAUACAUCGGAAUCUACUUUUUCGUGGGGGAUAACGUAGGGAAACUUACGCUAAUACCGCAUACGACCUACGGGUGAAAGCAGGGGAUCUUCGGACCUUGCGCGAUUGAAUGAGCCGAUGUCGGAUUAGCUAGUUGGCGGGGUAAAGGCCCACCAAGGCGACGAUCCGUAGCUGGUCUGAGAGGAUGAUCAGCCACACGGGAACUGAGACAGGGUCCAGACUCCUACGGGAGGCAGCAGUGGGGAAUAUUGGACAAUGGGCGCAAGCCUGAUCCAGCCAUACCGCGUGGGUGAGGAAGGCGUUCGGGUUGUAAAGCCCUUUUGUUGGGAAAGAAAAGCAGCAGGUUAAUACCCCGCUGUUCUGACGGUACCCAAAGAAUAAGCACCGGCUAACUUCGUG
rnacentral:rRNA from 1 species